GCAGAGCCUCGCGCUGGGGUGGGGUUGCGCGCGCAGGUGAGGGGGGCGGGGCCGGCGCGACCGGCGGGGCGGGGCGGACACUCCCACCGCGCACCUGCUUCUGCCUGACGUGUACCCGGAAGGUCGUCAGCUCAGGCUCCAAAUAUGUAACAAACAGGUGGAGAGGUAUGAAGAACGAGGAACACUGCCCGGGGAGUUUCUUCCUCUGCAAAAUAAGGGAGUGUGUACUGAAUUACCGUUUCCAGCUCCAACAUCCAGGAUUUCAGCACUACCUGCAGAGUAGUGGGAGGAGAGAUAGAGGAAGAAGUGAAGAUAAGAAACCACUCGAAGCCGGUGUCUGGUGCUGGGACCGUGGUGGCUGGGACGGCAGCAGUCGUGCUGUCCAUCUGCUCUUCCGAGGGGUGGCACAUCCUAGCCUCUAUCUUUUCCCCAGAGAAGAUCCCCCUCGUCUGCUCUUCCCCCGUCUCAGCCUUUUAGUGUGUGAACAGUUCUGGUGUUACUCAGCAACGCUUUUGUUAGCGCCUUUACCAGCAAGUACUUGUUAAACACUUAAAUCUUACAAGUGGAAAGAAAAUUCCGUGGUAAAUUUAAGUACAAAAGUCAACCAAAAUUCUGAGUCUCGGACAAGACUGGUUAAAAAUCGUUCUACAAUGAAACUAAUAAAUUAAAUCAUAUAAAACUUUUA
rnacentral:lncRNA from 1 species